UGCGCCUACGGGGCGCAGCAGUGGGGAAUAUUGGGCAAUGGGCGCAAGCCUGACCCAGCAACGCCGCGUGAAGGAAGAAGGCUUUCGGGUUGUAAACUUCUUUUGUCAGGGACGAAGCAAGUGACGGUACCUGACGAAUAAGCCACGGCUAACUACGUGCCAGCAGCCGCGGUAAUACGUAGGGGGCAAGCGUUAUCCGGAAUUACUGGGUGUAAAGGGAGCGUAGACGGUGAUGCCAGUCUGGAGUGAAAGUCGGGGGCCCAACCCCCGGACUGCUCUGGAAACUGUGUAACUUGAGUGCAGGG
rnacentral:rRNA from 1 species